rnacentral:rRNA from 1 species
CGCUGAACUUAAGCAUAUCAAUAAGCGGAGGAAAAGAAACUAACAAGGAUUCCCCUAGUAACGGCGAGUGAAGCGGGAAGAGCUCAAGCUUAAAAUCUCUGCGCAAGUUUUGCGCGGCGAAUUGUAGUCUAUAGACGCGGCAUCAGUGCGGCCGUUCGGGGUAAGUUCCUUGGAAGAGGACAGCAAUGAGGGUGAUACUCCCGUUUGUACCCGAGUGUGUUGCACGUACGAUGCGUGUUCUUUGAGUCGCGUUGUUUGGGAAUGCAGCGCAAAGUAGGUGGUAAAUUCCAUCUAAAGCUAAAUAUUGGUGCGAGACCGAUAGCGAACAAGUACCGUGAGGGAAAGAUGAAAAGAACUUUGAAAAGAGAGUUAAAGAGUACCUGAAACUGCUGAAAGGGAACCGGGUCGUUGCCAGUGUCUAUAAUCCGCUGCAUAUUUCAUUGCUGUGCGAGUCCGUGUCGCGCGUUGGUAGUAGUUUGUUCUGCACCGCGCGUGUCUGUGGGUUUGUUCGGCGGUGCCCUGUGCGGUGGUGGGACGUCAGAGUCAGUUCGUGUUGCUGCGGGAAAUGGCUGUCGAGGAGGUAGGUCAGGAGCUUGCUUUUGGCUGUUAUAUCUUGGCGUGCUAGUUGUCGUGGUUGGGACUGAGGUGCCUUACAACGUGCUUUUGGAGUGCGUGUGCGUCUCUGUGUGCGUCCGGAUUGGAUAGCUUGCUAUGCAGUUUGUCACGUGUGCGGAUGGAUGUGCGCGUUUACUUUUGGCCGUUCGGGACUUUGACGAAAUGGCGCGAUCCGACCCGUCUUGAAACACGGACCAAGGAGUCUAACAUGUGUGCAAGUGUUAGGGUGUGGAAACCCAAGCGCGAAAUGAAAGUAAAGGACAGCGUUGGUUGUCUGAGGUAGGAAACCCUUGCUCGUCAGGGGUGGCACUAUCGACCGAUCAUGAACCCUCGUGGUGAAAGAUUUGAGUAUGAGCACAUAUGUUGGUACCCGAAAGAUGGUGAACUAUGCCUGAGUAGGGUGAAGCCAGGGGAAACUCUGGUGGAAGCUCGUAGCGAUUCUGACGUGCAAAUCGAUCGUCAAACUUGGGUAUAGGGGCGAAAGACUAAUCGAACCAUCUAGUAGCUGGUUCCCUCCGAAAUUUCCCUCAGGAUAGCAGCAACUUAUUUACGAUAGUUUUAUGAGGUAAAGCGAAUGAUUAGAGGACUCGGGGAAGAAACUUCCUUGACCUAUUCUCAAACUUUAAAUCUGUAAGACCUGCAGGUUUCUUAAUUGAACUUGUGGAUGUGAAUAUCAAGUUGCUAGUGGGCCAUACGGGGUAAGCUCGUCUGGCG